AAAAAAAAAAAAAAAAACUAAACCACAAAACUCUGUCAUCCAUCCUAUCCGGUUGGAACAGGAUUGCUACCUAAAAACUACAAAACUCUUUCAUUUUUCCAUUGUUCAAAACCAACCACAUACAACAAAUACAAUAACAGAAGAGAAGAGAAGAGAAGGAGGUGAAACUCACGUUGGAAGAAUUAAGGAGAACCGGCGAGUCAAGAAGCUCAGCAGGGCUCAAACCAGGAGGAAUAGCAAAGUAAGAAGAAGGAGAAAUGGGAGGGGGAGAGAGAGGCAGAGAAGGUGGUGGUGUGGACUUGAAUUUGGGAACACCAGAGCCAGUUCUCU
rnacentral:lncRNA from 1 species